GGGAGAGAUGGCUGAGUGGUUGAUAGCCCCGGCUUGAAAACCGGUAUAGUUCUUAAAACUACCGAGGGUUCGAAUCCCCUAUCUA
rnacentral:tRNA from 1 species